rnacentral:ncRNA from 2 species
ACUGUAAUGCAGGGGAACCCGCGUCAACGGCGGGUUGAGAAUGGCAUAACGCCUAACCCUUAGAACCUGUUGGUUAAGACCAUCGUAGGGAGCAGUGAUAUGAGCGAU